GACGAGGGUUUUGUGGUGGUGGAUUGAAGGAGAAACGAGUGACGGCGUCGCAGUUGGAGUAGGACGACGGUGAUGGUGGUGCGAAGCGGUUUGGGGCGAAAGAUGAAGGAUUUGUUGGGGAUGAGUGGAAGAAGGUUUGUGAGUGAGAAUGGAGGCAGAGAGACUGAGUGAAUAGUGAGAGUAGUGUGAGGUAGCGGCGGAUAGGGUUUUGUGAG
rnacentral:lncRNA from 1 species